GAUGAACGCUGGCGGCGUGCCUAAUACAUGCAAGUCGAGCGAAUGGAUUAAGAGCUUGCUCUUAUGAAGUUAGCGGCGGACGGGUGAGUAACACGUGGGUAACCUGCCCAUAAGACUGGGAUAACUCCGGGAAACCGGGGCUAAUACCGGAUAACAUUUUGAACCGCAUGGUUCGACAUUGAAAGGCGGCUUCGGCUGUCACUUAUGGAUGGACCCGCGUCGCAUUAGCUAGUUGGUGAGGUAACGGCUCACCAAGGCAACGAUGCGUAGCCGACCUGGGAGGGUGAUCGGCCACACUGGGACUGAGACACGGCCCAGACUCCUACGGGAGGCAGCAGUAGGGAAUCUUCUGCAAUGGACGAAAGUCUGACGGAGCAACGCCGCGUGAGUGAUGAAGGCUUUCGGGUCGUAAAACUCUGUUGUUAGGGAAGAACAAGUGCUAGUUGAAUAAGCUGGCACCUUGACGGUACCUAACCAGAAAGCCACGGCUAACUACGUGCCAGCCGCCGCCGUAA
rnacentral:rRNA from 1 species